UCAGGACGAACGCUGGCGGCGUGCUUCAUACAUGCAAGUCGAACGAGAAUCUGGCUUCGGUCAGAGGAAAGUGGCGGACGGGUGAGUAAUGUGUAGAGAAUCUGCCCUUAGUGGGGACAACAGUUGGAAACGACUGCUAAUACCCCAUAUGCGCGUAGCUGAGAUGCUAUUCGUGAAAACUCCGGUGCUAAAGGAUGAGUCUGCAUCUGAUUAGCUAGUUGGCGGUGUAAUGGACCACCAAGGCGACGAUCAGUAGCUGGUUUGAGAGGAUGAUCAGCCACAAUGGGACUGAGACACGGCCCAUACUCCUACGGGAGGCAGCAGUAGGGAAUUUUGCGCAAUGGGGGAAACCCUGACGCAAGCAACGCCGCGUGAUUGAAUAAGCCCUUCGGGGUGUAAAGAUCUGUCAGUGGGGACGAAACUUGACGGUACCCACAGAGGAAGCAUCGGCUAACUCCGUGCCAGCAGCAGC
rnacentral:rRNA from 1 species